AUCCCAUGAUGUGGACACUUUCGAAGCAUCUCCUUGUAGCGUUCUCACGCUUCCCAUAAAGUUUCACCAGAUAGCUGAGAGAAUUGAGUGAUAGCAUUCCUGAUUGC
rfam:Daucus carota subsp. sativus cultivar DH1 chromosome 3, whole genome shotgun sequence.